rnacentral:rRNA from 1 species
UACACACCGCCCGUCACACCAUGGAAGUUGGUUCUACCUUAAGCCAGUACGCUAACCGCAAGGAGGCAGCUGACCACGGUAGGGUCAAUGACUGGGGUG